AGGUAGCAGCACAAAAUGUCAAGGGAUACGGAAAUUAUUCAUCCAGUUUAAUUAUCGAAACAGAGGAAACCAGGUGUAGAUGUACCAUGUGCAAUGUUACAUGGAGUAUAGCAACUUUGGUUUUAUUUGUUCUCACCGUCUAUUUAAUAUUCUUCAUCAGGAAACUGAAGAGGACGUCAGUUCCUGCGAUAGCAAAAGAGAGCAGCGCAGAUACACCUAUCUACUACAUCAAUGAAACAAAUUUAAAGGGUCAGGCAGAUAAGACGGUUUAUCAGACAUUAAUUUUACCAGAUGAACACACAUACGAAACUCUAAUUAAGUACAAAUAACAUGCGUGAUAAUUCUACAGAAAAGGCAUUUGACGACACGUGUAAGAAGUUACCACCCCACGAUUGUCAUUAUAAAAAAUAUUUCCCAUAAUUAUUACUAUAAAAUUAUUUGAAAUUGUUUUCCUCCAUGAUAUAAACGCCUUUUAUAUAUUUUUUUUAAAGACGCCCUUGAGUUCGUGGAUUUUGAGAUAAGAUUGCGUUUCAACGAAACCCAGAGAGAGUCGGAUAUCUUGCAGUUUUAUACUUUUUCUACACUCAUUCAGUUUUAUAAUUGAUAAACUGUGUUCAUUAUUACAAUCAUUUUAGUUUAAACUAAUUUUGAAAAUAUCGUCGCUGUACAGCCUAACAUUUGGUCUAUUCAUGUGAACUAGAUGUUGUGUUUUAGCAUGGCAAUUAUUCUCCUGAAGACGAUUGAAGUGCAACUCAAUCGAAACCGUCCAGACAUUCUCAACAAAAUUUCUUUUCAGAAAUGUCUACGUGGUGUACCACAAGCAUUAAUUAUUAUGACAAUUAUUCGUUAUUCAAAAAGCAAUACCGGUAAUCAUUCAUUCUUUAUUGUCUUUCUUAACGGUGGUUAGAUACCGGUACUGUACAAACUAUGGUAUAGUGGCUAAAUAAUAUAGUAAUAGUCACGACUGACUUAUGAUUGUAAUUUUUCUAUUUCAUCUUCACCUCUUGGGAAAAAAACCAUUGGUUAACGAGGUUUUAUAUUGUAUUUUAUAUACUUUGUGGAUAAAUAUGUUGAUUGAUUGAUAUUAUGCAACUGAAUUAAUGGUGAAUAUUAAACAUUUGUUAUAGUUGCAUUUAUUGUUAACUAU